rnacentral:rRNA from 1 species
UACGUAGGGGGCUAGCGUUGUCCGGAUUUAUUGGGCGUAAAGAGCGUGUAGGCGGCCAGGUAGGUCUGCUGUGAAAACUCGAGGCUCAACCUCGAGACGUCGGCGGAAACCAUCUGGCUAGAGUCCGGAAGAGGAGAGUGGAAUUCCUGGUGUAGCGGUGAAAUGCGCAGAUAUCAGGAAGAACACCCGUGGCGAAGGCGGCUCUGGGACGGUACUGACGCUGAGACGCGAAAGCGUGGGGAGCGAACAGG